rnacentral:rRNA from 2 species
AACGAACGCUGGCGGCAUGCCUAACACAUGCAAGUCGAACGAGAUCUUCGGGUCUAGUGGCGCACGGGUGCGUAACGCGUGGGAAUCUGCCCUUUGGUUCGGAAUAACAGUUGGAAACGACUGCUAAUACCGGAUGAUGACGAAAGUCCAAAGAUUUAUCGCCAGAGGAUGAGCCCGCGUAGGAUUAGCUAGUUGGUGUGGUAAAGGCGCACCAAGGCGACGAUCCUUAGCUGGUCUGAGAGGAUGAUCAGCCACACUGGGACUGAGACACGGCCCAGACUCCUACGGGAGGCAGCAGUGGGGAAUAUUGGACAAUGGGCGAAAGCCUGAUCCAGCAAUGCCGCGUGAGUGAUGAAGGCCUUAGGGUUGUAAAGCUCUUUUACCCGGGAUGAUAAUGACAGUACCGGGAGAAUAAGCUCCGGCUAACUCCGUG